rnacentral:misc_RNA from 1 species
GCUGAAGAACGUAGCGAAAUGCGAUAAGUAGUGUGAAUUGCAGAAUUCAGUGAAUCAUCGAAUCUUUGAACGCACAUUGCGCCCCUUGGUAUCCCGAGGGGCAUGCCUGUUCGAGCGUCAUUUCACCACUCAAGCCUGGCUUGGUGUUGGGCGACGUCCCCUUUGGGGACGCGCCUCGAAACGCUCGGCGGCGUGGCACCGGCUUUAAGCGUAGCAGAAUCUUUCGCUUUGGAAGUCGGGGCCCCGUCUGCCGGAAGACCUACUCGCAAGGUUGACCUCGGAUCAGGCAGGGAUACCCGCUGAACUUAAGCAUAUCAAUAAGCGGAGGA